CAGCCGCCGCGGUAAUACGGAGGGUGCAAGCGUUAAUCGGAAUUACUGGGCGUAAAGCGCACGCAGGCGGUUUGUUAAGUCAGAUGUGAAAUCCCCGAGCUUAACUUGGGAACUGCAUUUGAAACUGGCAAGCUAGAGUCUUGUAGAGGGGGGUAGAAUUCCAGGUGUAGCGGUGAAAUGCGUAGAGAUCUGGAGGAAUACCGGUGGCGAAGGCGGCCCCCUGGACUGGUAUUGACGCUGAGGUGCGAAAGCGUGGGGAGCAAACAGGAUUAGAUACCCGGGUAGUCCCUGUCUCUUAUAA
rnacentral:rRNA from 1 species